UACGUAGGGGGCAAGCGUUGUCCGGAAUUAUUGGGCGUAAAGCGCGCGCAGGCGGCCUGUUAAGUCGGGUGUGAAAGCCCACGGCUCAACCGUGGGAUUGCAUCCGAAACUGGUGGGCUUGAGUGCAGGAGAGGAGAGUGGAAUUCCCGGUGUAGCGGUGGAAUGCGUAGAGAUCGGGAGGAACACCAGUGGCGAAGGCGGCUCUCUGGCCUGUAACUGACGCUGAGGCGCGAAAGCGUGGGUAGCAAACAGG
rnacentral:rRNA from 1 species